AGUGAAUAGAUACCCUGGUAGUCCUAGCCGUAAACGAUACUCGCUAGGUGUCGGCCACGGUGCGACCGUUGUCGGUGCCGUAGGGAAAGCCGUGAAGCGAGCCACCUGGGAAGUACGGCCGCAAGGCUGAAACUUAAAGGAAUUGGCGGGGGAGCACCACAACGGGUGGAGCUUGCGGUUUAAAUUGGAUUCAACGCCGGAAAUCUUACCGGGACCGACAGCAAUAUGAAGGCCAGGCUGAAGACUUUGCCGGAUUAGCUGAGAGGUGGUGCAUGGCCGUCGUCAGUUCGUACUGUGAAGCAUCCUGUUAAGUCAGGCAACGAGCGAGACCCACGCCCACAGUUGCCAGCGUACUCUCCGGAGUGACGGGUACACUGUGGGGACCGCCGCUGCUAAAGCGGAGGAAGGAAUGGGCAACGGUAGGUCAGUAUGCCCCGAAUAUCCCGGGCUACACGCGAGCUACAAUGGUUGGUACAAUGGGUAUCUACCCCGAAAGGGGAUGGAAAUCUCCUAAAGCCAAUCUUAGUUCGGAUUGAGGGCUGCAACUCG
rnacentral:rRNA from 1 species